rnacentral:lncRNA from 1 species
UAGUUUAUUAUAAUUUCUAUUUUGAAUUUUCUAAAUUAUUAAAAUUAAGUUUCACAAUCAAAUUUAGUUGACUAAAUAUUAGUACGUUGCUAAUUAUGAAAGUAGUAUAACAGUAUUGUGACUGAUAACAUGAUAAUAAUUAAUAUGCCAUAGUACUUCUACAUCAAUGACAAGUCAAUAUUUUAGUUAAGCAAGUUAGAUUGUGGAACUUUAUUGC